AAACAUUGAUCCGUUCUCUAUUGUCUCAAGCAGCUGUUUCAGAAGGUUGAAGUUUGUAAACCACGUGCUAGUCGCUUGGCAUCAGCUGAGAUUUAUGUUUUGUGGCUAAGGUAUAAAGCCCCUGCAAAGAUUGAUCCACGUCUUCUUGAUUUCAAACAUCUGUUUCAGGGAUCGAUAGAACCACAAAAGAAGGUGAUUGAUGUACUUAGGGUAACAAAACAGAAGAGACACCGUGAUGGUUAUGAAGAUGGGGAGACAAUC